AAAUAUACUCAUCGUGGUAAAGCAGCUCUCAUGCUACAGGAAACCAGCCCCAGCCCUUUGAACUUUGAGGGUGACAAAACUAAAUGCUGCAAGCUGUUGGACAGAGAGCAACAGAGUACUAAGACAUUCAUGAGAAACCUGGAACCCAAAAAUGUGGACGUUUAUUUCCAUUCUGAUUAUACCUGUCACCUAUGGUCACCUGACAAAAGGUGAAAACCAGAAAGCCUUGCAUUGUACUAGCGAACAAACUUACCAACAAAAUCCAGUUUCCACGACACAAGAUGCAUUUACAGAAUACAGAAGUGAGUACUUUGACUUGAAUAGCAGCGUUACUCUGAACUGCUCCAAUAAGACAUGGGCUUCGAUUCUCUUCAUUACCUGGACGAUAGACAUUGACGGAAAGCGGUGUCGAAUGGCGCAUAGUGAUAACGAUUCUAAACAUGAUACAUGUAACGAUGGAAAGAUCCUGCGCAACAACACAAACGGAGAAACAUACCUGUACAUUCCUCGCUUUACAAAACGAGAUGAAGGACGGUAUCAGUGUGAGACAGUGU